GGUCUGGUGGUGUAGUUGGUUAUCACGUCAGUCUAACAAGCCGAGCGAGUCACCUACCAUUGACCUCGUCUCGUUCACUGAAGAUCUCCGGUCCAAGUCCGGGCUAGAUCA
rnacentral:tRNA from 1 species